rnacentral:rRNA from 1 species
UGAGUAACGCGUGGGUAACCUGCCUCAUACAGGGGGAUAACAGUUAGAAAUGACUGCUAAUACCGCAUAAGCGCACGGAAUCGCAUGAUUCAGUGUGAAAAGCCGAGACGGUAUGAGAUGGACCCGCGUCUGAUUAGGUAGUUGGUGAGGUAACGGCCCACCAAGCCGACGAUCAGUAGCCGACCUGAGAGGGUGACCGGCCACAUUGGGACUGAGACACGGCCCAA